GUGCUCGCUUUGGCAGCACAUGUGCUAAAGUUGGAACCAUAAAGAGAAUAUUAGCACUCCCCCUGCCCAAGGAUGACACGUAAAUUUGUGAAGUGUUUCAUAUUUUA